AGUGAACGCUGGCGGUAGGCCUAACACAUGCAAGUCGAACGGCAGCACAGUAAGAGCUUGCUCUUACGGGUGGCGAGUGGCGGACGGGUGAGGAAUACAUCGGAAUCUACUUUUUCGUGGGGGAUAACGUAGGGAAACUUACGCUAAUACCGCAUACGACCUACGGGUGAAAGCAGGGGAUCUUCGGACCUUGCGCGAUUGAAUGAGCCGAGGUCGGAUUAGCUAGUUGGCGGGGUAAAGGCCAACCAAGGCAACGAUCCGUAGCUGGUCUGAGAGAAUGAUCGGCUCCAUAGGGUCAGAGACACGCUCCACACUACAACGGUAGGCAGCAGUGGGCAAUAUUGGACAAUGGGCGCAAGUCUGAUCCAGACAUACCGCGUGGUUAAACGAGGCCUUCGGGUUGUAAAGCCCUUUUUUUGGGAAAGAAAAGCCGCAGGUUAAUACCCCGCUGUUCUGACGGUACCCAAAGAAUAAGCACCGGCUAACUUCGUG
rnacentral:rRNA from 1 species